AGUUUGAUUAUGGCUCAGGAUGAACGCUAGCUACAGGCUUAACACAUGCAAGUCGAGGGGCAGCAUGACGAUAGCUUGCUAUUGUUGAUGGCGACCGGCGCACGGGUGAGUAACGCGUAUCCAACCUUCCCUAUAGUAGAGGAUAGCCCGGCGAAAGUCGGAUUAAUACUCUAUGUUUUCCAAUGCAGACAUCUAAAAUGGAACAAAGGUUUACCGCUAUAGGAUGGGGAUGCGUCUGAUUAGGUUGUUGGCGGGUAACGGCCCACCAAGCCUACGAUCAGUAGGGGUUCUGAGAGGAAGGUCCCCACAUUGGAACUGAGACACGGUCCAAACUCCUACGGGAGGCAGCAGUGAGGAAUAUUGGUCAAUGGGCGAGAGCCUGAACCAGCCAAGUAGCGUGCAAGGAUGACGGCCCUAUGGGUUGUAAACUGCUUUUAUACAGGGAUAAAGUGCGCCACGUGUGGCGCUUUGUAGGUACUGUAUGAAUAAGGACCGGCUAAUUCCGUGCCAGCCGCCGC
rnacentral:rRNA from 1 species